rnacentral:tRNA from 1 species
AUUGCCGUCCAGCGGUUAGGAUAUCUGGCUUACAUCCAAGAGACCCGAGUUCGAUUCCCUACAAUG